GUUAUCAUUUUGAAGAGACUGUAACAUCAGCUAGUUAUCAUGUCAUGCAAAUGGAAUUUUGCCUUUCAAAUCAAAUCAGAAGUUAACACGCAAAUCUCCUAGUGUGACAGCUGUAAAUAUUUACGCUAGUUUAUCCUCAGCUAGUUGUAGUUCUUGAAUUUGUACUUAAAUAUCAUAUUACUCUUCAUUGUCCUUAGAACCAAAAACUUGGCAACAUCAUCCUCCUAACUAUUUCCUUCGUAUAUCUCAUCAUGGCACGCAUGUUGAGUGGGCAAAAGCACUGUUCCAUCUCCAACUUCUACUUUCCAGUGGUUGUCUCAAAAUAAAAGAGUUAUGCUUCACAUGGAUGGCAUUUGGUUUUAUUGCACAAGAGACACUCCUUUGUAAACACAUCCUCCCAAAAAUAAUAUUUAAUCAUUGUUAAGAUUCUGCUGACCAUUAGAGACAGAAAACAUAAACACCUGCAUCAAAAUUGUCACCACCUUAGUUAUAUAAUUUUUUUACAAAAGUACAAAGAAUAACAUUUGAUCCACAUUAAAAGUAGUAUUUUAUUACUAGACAUGAGUCCCCAUUCAUUUGAAUCUUUUUUUUUUAAUUCCCAAUUUUGAAGAUUUAAUAUAGAGAAGCUUUGAAACUAUUUCUAUUUCUGGUGAAGGGAAAAGCAACUAGUAUUUCCUGCUGCGCAUCGGGGUCCUGUUCGUCCCGCCGGGAUUCAUUUUUUCGAUAAUGACCGCCGAACAAUACAUUAUCCCUUACAUAAUAUCUAACUACAAAACAGUACAAGUCAAAUGUAGAAACACAUUGUAUUUGUUGUAGAACUUAACUUUGUAUGCUAACAAAAUAUGUGCAUGCUAAAGAAAAAAACAGAUUAAUGUUAUGUUAUGAGAACCUAUAAUGUUAAAAACAAAUCCUUGACUCACUUUUCCCAGAUGAGAUCUGAUCACUAGUCCUGUGGUCAGUAGAGUAGAUCUGCCCCACGCUGCCCCCACUGCUGCCGUCCAGGUGCUGGGACUGCCCCAUGCUACCCUCCAGGUGCUGGGACAGGCUAGAAGUUUCCCCUGAAGGAGACUAGUGCAGAUAAAGGAUAGGACACAGGGAAGGUUAUGAUGAUACACUUUAAUUCCCACAUAAGACAGCACCCAAAUGUCCAACAUACCACUUUCUCAAAUGUAGCAACAUAAAGUAUUAACACAUUAGGUGUGAAAGCUAAACAGA
ensembl:lncRNA